GGAAUAUUGCACAAUGGGCGGAAGCCUGAUGCAGCGACGCCGCGUGAGGGAUGACGGCCUUCGGGUUGUAAACCUCUUUCAGCAGGGACGAAGCGUAAGUGCCGGUACCUGCAGCAGAAGCGCCGGCCAACUACGUGCCAGCAGCCGCGGUAAGACGUAGGGCGCGAGCGUUGUCCGGAUUUAUUGGGCGUAAAGAGCUCGUAGGCGGCUUGUCGCGUCGACUGUGAAAACCCGCAGCUCAACUGCGGGCCUGCAGCCGAUACGGGCAGGCUAGAGUUCGGUAGGGGAGACUGGAAUUCCUGGUGUAGCGGUGAAAUGCGCAGAUAUCAGGAGGAACACCGGUGGCGAAGGCGGGUCUCUGGGCCGAUACUGACGCUGAGGAGCGAAAGCGUGGGGAGCGAAC
rnacentral:rRNA from 1 species